GAUGAACGCUGGCGGCGUGCCUAAUACAUGCAAGUCGAGCGAAUGGAUUGAGAGCUUGCUCUUAUGAAGUUAGCGGCGGACGGGUGAGUAACACGUGGGUAACCUGCCCAUAAGACUGGGAUAACUCCGGGAAACCGGGGCUAAUACCGGAUAACAUUUUGAACCGCAUGGUUCGAAAUUGAAAGGCGGCUUCGGCUGUCACUUAUGGAUGGACCCGCGUCGCAUUAGCUAGUUGGUGAGGUAACGGCUCACCAAGGCAACGAUGCGUAGCCGACCUGAGAGGGUGAUCGGCCACACUGGAACUGAGACACGGUCCAGACUCCUACGGGAGGCAGCAGUGGGGAAUAUUGGACAAUGGGCGAAAGCCUGAUCCAGCCAUGCCGCGUGUGUGAAGAAGGUCUUCGGAUUGUAAAGCUCUUUUGUCCGGAACGAAACGGUGCUCGUGAAUAUCGAGCGCUACUGGCGGUACCGGAAGAAUAAGCACCGGCUAACUACGUGCCAGCCGCCGCGGUAA
rnacentral:rRNA from 1 species